AAAAGACGAAGAAGCGCAGAGGGGCGGCCUGAGAUACUGGUGACGGCCGCUGGGCCCAUCAUUCUGCUGGAAGAGGAGAACUUGGCUGUUGGACUCCACCAGCGGGAGGAAGGUGAAGCAGAUGCUGCUGCCGAUGCUCCGUCCCGUGUCCUUCCUGGAGUGGCGGCCGGGACAGCGCUGCUCUCCGUGGCCCUGGUAGUCGGCGCCGUGGCUUUGUGGAAACGGGAGACGGGUGUCGGGACGGGCUCCGAUGGCAGCUCCCUGGAACUGUAGGUGUCUGUUGGAGAAUAAACUGCUGUUGUCACUGAGCCCCUCUCUGCAGUUGCUCUUUAUUCACCUCGGGUUUGUCCUUAUUCCUUGCAAUUGUUCGCG